GUUUAUAUGAUGCUACAAAUAUCACGACGGUCAACUUAGCCAUAUGCAUUGAUGACAACGCCUGUGACAAGGCACCUUCCACUGAAA
rnacentral:snoRNA from 1 species